CCCUUAGAUGUCCUGGGCCGCACGCGCGUUACACUGAUGCAUUCAACGAGCUUAUAACCUUGGCCGAGAGGCCUGGGCAAUCUUGUUAACGUGCAUCGUGAUAGGGAUAGAUUAUUGAAAUUAUUAAUCUUGAACGAGGAAUUCCUAGUAAACGCAGAUCAUCAAUCUGCAUUGAUUACGUCCCUGCCCUUUGUACACACCGCCCGUCGCUCCUACCGAGGGGGUGAUCCGGUGAAUGAUUCGGACUCUGGUGCUUCUAGCUGCUAGAUGCGCCGGAGGAAGUUUUGUGAACCUUAUCACUUGGAGGAAGGAGAAGUCGUAACA
rnacentral:rRNA from 1 species